rnacentral:rRNA from 1 species
AAUCAACGCUGGCGGCGUGCCUCAGACAUGCAAGUCGAACGAUUAAGACUUCCUUCGGGAAGUGCAUAAAGUGGCGCACGGGUGAGUAACACGUAAGUAAUCUACCCUCGAGUGGGGAAUAACGUUCGGAAACGGACGCUAAUACCGCAUAACGCAGCGGCACCGCAAGGUGACAGUUGUUAAAGGAGCAAUCCGCUUGAGGAGGAGCUUGCGGCAGAUUAGCUAGUUGGUAGGGUAAUGGCUUACCAAGGCUACGAUCUGUAUCCGGUCUAAGAGGACGGUCGGACACACUGACACUGAAUAACGGGUCAGACUCCUACGGGAGGCAGCAGUCGGGAAUUUUGGGCAAUGGGCGAAAGCCUGACCCAGCAACGCCGCGUGAAGGAUGAAGUAUUCGGUAUGUAAACUUCGAAAGAAUAGGAAGAAUAAAUGACGGUACUAUUUAUAAGCUCCGGCUAACUACGUGCCAGCAGCCGCGGUAA